rnacentral:rRNA from 1 species
UGGGGAAUCUUGGACAAUGGGGGCAACCCUGAUCCAGCCAUGCCGCGUGAGUGAUGAAGGCCUUAGGGUCGUAAAGCUCUUUCGCCUGUGAAGAUAAUGACGGUAGCAGGUAAAGAAACCCCGGCUAACUCCGUGCCAGCAGCCGCGGUAAUACGGAGGGGGUUAGCGUUGUUCGGAAUUACUGGGCGUAAAGCGCACGUAGGCGGACCAGAAAGUUGGGGGUGAAAUCCCGGGGGCUCAACCCCGGAACUGCCUCCAAAACUAUUGGUCUAGAGUUCGAGAGAGGUGAGUGGAAUUCCAAGUGUAGAGGUGAAAUUCGUAGAUAUUAGGUGGAACACCAGUGGCGAAGGCGCCUAACUGGUCCGGUACUGACGCUGAGGAACGAAAAGCGUGGGGAGCAAACAGGAUUAGAUACCCUGGUAGUCCACGCCGUAAAACGAUGAGUGCUAGAUGUUGGGAUUUUCGGAUUUCAGUGUCGCAGCU